rfam:Schistocephalus solidus strain NST_G2 genome assembly, scaffold: SSLN_scaffold0017222
GCGCUUGUGGCUCAAUGGUUAGAGCAUUGAACUUCUGAUCAAUGAGUCGCAGGUUCGAUCCUCGCGUGGUGCA